CCUACGAGAGGUAGCAGUGGGGAAUAUUGGGCCAUGGGCGCAAGCCUGACCCAGCAACGCCGCGUGAAUGAAGAAGGCUUUCGGGUUGUAAACUUCUUUUAUCAGAGACGAAGCAAGGGACGGUACAUGAUGAAUAAGCCACGGCUAACUACGUGCCAGACGCCGCGGUAAUACGUAGGUGGCAAGCGUUAUCCGGAUUUACUGGGGGUAAAGGGCGUGUAUGCGGGAGUGCAAGUCAGAUGUGAAAACGAUGGGCUCAACCCAUAGCCUGCAUUUGAAACUGUACGUCUUGAGUGCUGGAGAGGCAAUCGGAAUUCCGUGUGUAGCGGUGAAAUGCGUAGAUAUACGGAGGAACACCAGUGGCGAAGGCGGAUUGCUGGACAGUAACUGACGCUGAGGCGCGAAAGCGUGGGGAGCAAACAGGAUUAGAUACCCGAGUAGUC
rnacentral:rRNA from 1 species